GGUGGGGAAAUAGCCCAGCCUUCUCCCCUCUUUCUUGGGACAGACGUGAGGCCCAUUCCACCCCAUCUCCUGGAAGUCUCCAGAGGGGCGGAGCCUCGGCUGUCCCCGCUGCGGCUCGUUCACCAGCGCGUCCUGACUCUGGGAUUCUUCCUUCCCUGCCUCAGUUUCCCCCUUUCCCUACCGGCGCGUCCCGGGAUUGUUGCAGGAUGCUUUUUUAACCUCAAUGCCCAGGAUUCGUUGUCUCGCCGCAAAGAAUGAAGGGGGGAGGGGGAGCACCGAAUAAAACGAGCAGCCGGCAAAAGUUUAUCAGAGUAUAAGAUCAGAAAGCAAGAAUAGUAGGAAAGCUCUCUUUCCAGAGAAGGGAGCGAAUGCCCGCGACUACAGGGAAGGGUCCUUGUUUGAUAAGGUUUUGGUCGCCCCCCCCCUUCCGCCCCCACUCAUUUCUUCUCUGGUUUUACCCUUAUCGGCGUGGUAACUCUGAAUGCCUAGUCAUUCCUUUUUGAUUGGCUGGUUUCCAUCGUAUGAGGGGUGGUCUAGGGCCACACCGUCCCUUGUGGGUCAUACAUUUUAUGGUCGACUGCUCAUUUUUAGUCAGGUCUUUGGUCAAAUUCCUGAGGGGAACCUGAGGGGGAGCAGGCGGUGUCUGUAACAUUCUUAAGAGGAACCUUAUGCCCCCGGGAGACUGCUGUGGCCAGACGCUCCCAGCCUUGUUUCAAAAUAUGUGUUUUUCCCCACCCAGGGAUCUCACGUCCUAACCUUUCCCUCUCUGCCUGUUUGACCCUCUCUUUCCCUAUCAUAGGAUCACUGCCCAAAGGAACUUCUCUCAUCCUUAUCUCAGGGUCGGCUUCUGGGGGAACCCAACCAAGAUGAGCAGCGACCAGGAUCACCUCUGUAAGGGCAUGGAGAUCACAUCUGCCGCUGGCUCCGUCCCUGCGGAAACCCCAGGAGGCAAGCAGCGGGGCGUCAUCCGUUCCAUUUUGCAGAUGGAGACACGGAGGCUCAGAGAAGAGCAGUGAUUUGCUCAAGGGCGUACCACCGUCAAGGAGAAGGGUUAGAAUGAGGGUGCCCAUAUCCCAGGGUUUUGGCUUUGACCUGCUCUGGGCUCCUGGAGGGCCCUGAGCUGGCUGGGAGGAUGGUCUCUACCCCCUCUGACUCCUGUCCCCUGACAGAUGGGGCUGACUCUGGCCGUUACACGGGUCCGGGACUGUGAAGGGCAAAUGGACUGGCGGUAGGAAUGGUCUGUUAUUAAAUCCAUCCGUCACCCUACAGGACUGACCUCAUUCUGUCCUGGGAAAGCCAGUUUUGCCUGGGGGCAGCUUCAAGGGGCGGGGGGAUGCUGACCCAGCAGGAAAGGGUAGGUGAGGGCCAUGCAAGGCCAGAGUGGCUAGGGCGCCAUGAGGUCAGAGACAGCUCCUGGCUAUCUGCGUCCCACAGUGUGAGGGCAGCCAGGGGCCCAGGGACAGGCAGAGCCAUUGUAAUGCCGAUGGCCACCGGCACCCCCUGGGGCGGUGGCCUGAAGGGGGGGCCUUUGGGGGGGUGGUCCUGCCUCUAAUUCCCCAUCACUGCCUCAGCCCACCAGUAUCCCAGUAUCCCAAACCCCAGAAGAUGGGAGUCCGGGGCCAUACAGGGGCCGUGACAUGAAACUUGGACGUGCCCAAGGGUGCCCACUGGUUCACUAUCCAGUGAGGGCACUCGACACAUGGCUCGUGUCAUCCUCAGGCCGCGGAGGGAAUGUCCGGAGGCAGACAGACCCGGGUCAGAGAGACAGAGAGAGAGGGAGAGAGAAUCCCAAGCAGGCUCUGGCCAUCCGUGCAGAGCCCGACGUGGGGCCCAAUCUCAUGAACCGUGAGAUCAUGACCUGAGCUGAGAUCAAGAGUCGGACGCUUAACCGACUGAGCCACCUGGGCGCCCGUUCAUGGAUUAUCUUAAUCACGGUCACGCCGAGGGAGAGGGACUAUUGUUCGGCCUCCUCUUACAGCCCCAACAAGUGAGGUCAACAACCCACUGGCUCGUUCAUCUCAUGGGGCCUUUGAGAGAGACUGCCGGGUGAAGGUUUACUGGAGGCCCAGAGAGGUCAAGAUACCAGCGGGGGGCUACAGACACGAUGGGACCGGAGCUGGGACUGAACCCCAAGCCGUCUGGCUCUCUGGCCGGGCCCUCGUUCAGAAGCCUGGAUGUCAUCUGCAGCUCUGCUCUGGCCUUGCAACAGCCCUACGCCCACCUCGCCCUCUCCCUUGGAAAGGCUUGGGCCCCGUGGGAGUUCCUGCAUUUUUCUUCCCCCGGCCACUGAAGUGUGGGAUUGAGGCCACACUUUUCUCUUCCACUGAGAGGUAAUUUGCCUGGAACACGUUGAGCACUUAAAAAAUUUGGUCACAUUGCCACCAUCUAGGUUACCAUGGUGACCUGACUUUGAAUUUUCUUCCCAGGGGGAGUUGGUAAUAAUUAAUACAGCACUCAGCUCUGCUGCCCACAGCGAGUGUGGGGAGCAUCACAGAGCUGCCCUGGGACUCACUUCCCCAGGGGAAAGCAGGGUCUCCCCCUCCCAGCAGGGGCCUGGCGUUCCCCAAGGAGACAGGGAGGGGAGAGGACACCCCAACCCUGCCCACCUCUUCAGCAGCCCUGGCUGCCAUGUCAUGGGAGCCGGACUAGACCUAGACUGGAGAGCUCCCUUUUACCAACGGAAUUUGCAGCUCAAGAGAGGAAGUGACUUGUUCAAGGCCACACGACAGGAUCCAGGCAGCAGCAGCCUCGGGCUGGAAGGCUGGAUUCCCGAACCGUUCGUGGCUGCCAAGGUUGGGGAAGCCCAGCUCUGAAACUCUUCCCUCCCAAGUGCAUUUGAGCCAUUUGAGAGGGGGGAAGCAUGAAGCAUUGCCGUCUCUGGAGCCCAAGGCUGGGCCAAUGGCCCUUUGCUCGGUCGCUGUCCCUUCAGAGCUAAGUGGAUUAUAAGACAGUGCAGGGUGUCAGCAACCAGGCUCGGAGAGAGACUGGAAGAGAAAGUGGGUGAACUGGACGGGAAGGGGAACCUGGGAGGUGGCCCCAGGAAGCAAGCGGCCUUGGGCAUUUCUGGAAAGGGUCCCCAAGAGGGGUAAGUGCCACGCAGGGGCAUUCUGCCUCUCUGCUCCACUCCACCCACUCCUCCCCUUCAUUUCUUGGUCCCCACUCACUCCAGCUCUGGAUAAAGAGAAAGCCACGGAGUAGAAAGAAUAAGAAGUCUCUUGAGUUCCUAUUUCUCUGGUGGGGGAACUGAGGCUCAUAGGGGCCUUAGAGAGGUCCACAGACCCAUAGCCAGUAAGUAUUUGAACUCACAGGAGUCCGUAGCGUCUGUGCUCUUUCACUGUGACCACUGGGGUAGGUUCUCUCCCUAUCCCCACAUCCCCCUGGUGGGCAGGGUGGCGGGCUUAGGGAAGUGUCGGCACCGAAGGAGGAGGAGGAAGUUGACUUCUCCAACUGGAGCAGGCAUGGCUCAGGCAAAAAGCUAAGAACUUGGGAGCUUCGACUAUGGCAGCCUGGUUGCAGCGAAAGGAUAGGGAGAAGGGGUAAGGGGAAUGGCUCUGAGAUCUCUAGUCACAUCCAAAAAUCGGGCCCGCAGUGUUAUGUUACCUCAAACAAAAUAAAACAAACCUGGGACUCUAGCAUGCUGCCACCAGGUGGCGGUGUCACUUGGCGGCUCAUAACCUUAACUGCCAUUAAAAUAAAAAUUUCACUCAUUUUUCAAAAAAAAGA